rnacentral:lncRNA from 12 species
GGGGGGGGGGGGGGGGGGGGGGGGGGGGGGGGGGGGGGGGGGGGGGGGGGGGGGGGGGGGGGGGGGGGGGGGGUGAUUUAGGGGCAAUUUUGGAAAAUUGUGGGACAAUUUUGGGACAAUUUUGGGACAAUUUUGGGGCAAUUUCAGAAAAUUUUGGACAAUUUUGGGGCUGAUUUUGGGGCAAUUUCAGAAAAUUUUCUGACAAUUUUGGGACAAUUUUGGGACAAUUUUGGGGCAAUUUCAGGAAAUUUUGGACAAUUUUGGGUCAAUUUUUUGGCUGAUUUUGGGCACUUUUGGAGCCAUUUUGGGAUGACUUCAGGUGGACCCAAAUGAGGCCAUUUUGGGCAGUUUUGGGGCAAUUUUGGGCCGUUUUGGGAUGAUUUUGGAGCCAAUUUGGGCAGUUUUGGGGCCAUUUUGGAGCCAUUUUGGAGCCAUUUUGGGGCCAUUUUGGGGCCAUUUUGGGAUGAUUUUGGAGCCGUUUGGGGGCCAUUUUGAGCAGAUUUGGGGCCAUCUUGGAGCCAUUUUGGGAUGGUUUUGGGGCCAUUUUGGGGAUUAUUUUGUGGCCAUUUUGUGGAGAUUUCGCGGCCGUUUCGGAUCCUCUUUUUUCCUGGGGGUCUCCCGCCGCUCAGGUGAGCCUCACCUGCCGUCCCCGCCCGCAGGCGUCCCUGGACCAGCCCACGGCCACGGUGAUGAUGCACCGGACGGAGCCGACGGCCACGCAGAACCUGGCGCUGCAGCUGGCCGAGAAGCUGGGCAACCUGGUGGAGAACAACGAGCGCGUGCUGGACCAGCGCCAGGGCGCCUACGGCGGCUACUUCCGAGACCAGAAAGAUGGCGGGUACCGCAAGGGCGACGGCUACCUGCGGCGCGGCGGCUUCCGGCAGGAGCGCGGCAACUACUGAGCCUCACCUGAGCUACCUGCGGGGCCCUCACCUGUCCCGGAGAGACCUCCUCACCUGGGCACAGCCAUCACCUGCCCCAUGGAUCCCAAUCCUGCCCCAUGGAUCCCUCACCUGUCAUAAAAACCUUCUCACCUGGGCACAGUGGGCACAGUCGUCACCUGCCCCAUGGAUCCCUUCACCUGUCCUGGAAACCUCCUCACCUGCCCCGUAGAUUCCCUCACCUGCCCCAUCGAGGGCCCCGCGGCUGGAAAUUAAUAAAUGGAUAGUUAAGAGCGCGUUAACGAGUUGUUAAUUAAUGUGUUAAUGAGGGCUUGGUGAUCUCGAAGUUUCCUCCCCUCACAUUUUCCUGCCAUUUUUUUCCCCUCGCAUUUUCCCGCCAUUUUUUGCCCCUCACGUUUUCCCACCAUUUUCUCCCCUCACGUUUUCCUGCCAUUUUUUGCCCCUUGCAUUUUCCCGCCAUUUUUUCCCCCUCGCAUUUUCCCGCCAUUUUUUGCCGUCACAUUUUCCCGCCAUUUUCUCCCCUCACGUUUUCCCGCCAUUUUUUUCCCCUCCCAUUUUCCCGCCGGGGGGGGGGGGGGGGGGGGGGGGGGGGGGGGGGGGGGGGGGGGGG